rnacentral:lncRNA from 1 species
GCCGGGGCCGGGCCCCCCCUCCUGCGGGUCCGGCUCCGCAGCCGGGGCAGCGGCGCUCAUCUGGGCCAGCUGCUGCCGGGCACCGGCAGGCGGGAGGCUCGUCCCGGGGCUGGCCUGCUGCCGAGGGGAGCCCAAGACGCAACAGCCGCGAGAAAACCUGCAGCUUCUACAUGGAGCUUCUGAAGAACCUCAGCAGCUCAUGUUCACAUGGCCCCUUCAUCCAACAGCAGCUACCAGGAUGCRUUAGAGGCACCUAUUGGUGAACAGAAACACUGCACAGCACUUUCUGGCAUGAAGGGAAAGGAAGGAUGACUGCAAGAGCACUGCUUUUGUAGCUGCAUGUAGUCGGGGGUGUGUGGGGGAAUAAUCAAACUGGAAUUAGGCCUUUAUGACACUAAUACUUUAGUGGAAAGUGCCAAGGGAUAGGGAAACCAGACUUUCAGAAAGGGCAGGUGAUCCUGUAGACCUGAUUUGCUAGAUUUUUUACUGAGACAUUUACAUAAAGAGAUGGUUACCUGGGAAUACCAGGAACCCUACUCAUAUGUGCUCCCUAUACAUUCAGUACUGGAGUGYGUUUUAAACAGAGACGGAAGAACCAUUACUCUAUAUUCAUAGUCCCUAGCUUAAAGAGCAAUUUCACUGCAACUGAUGCCAUAUUUUCACUCAGCAGAGACUAAAAGGACAGUAUUUUUUCUCAUUAAUGCAUAAUAUACAUAGUAACACAAUAGCUUCCUUUGACCAAGCUACUUGAACUUCUCCUGCACGUACUGCCAAAACAACCAGGAACGGCAAUUUACUGGGUUUCCACAUUGUCAGCACACAGCUCGGUGUGUGCGCGCGUGCAUGUGCGUGUAAGAGGCGUGAAAAGCUCGUAGGCUGUGCAUGUCUGCUCUUGUGCAAUACGAUGCUUCUUCCUGGCCUGCUGUGGCUUUUUCACUGGUGCGGGGACUGCUGAAGCCUAUGCUGAAAAGCAGCCAGUGCUCUCUCUGUGGUUGAGUUGGAGACCACAGCUAAAGUCUACCUCAUCUGCUGCAGCGAUUCUCACUGCUGCACAAGGCGCUGGCUCGCGGGAGUUUCUUUGACUCUCUGGUAGGGCUGGCGACGGGGCUCUCCCACCGCCGGCACGGAGCGGGAGGCCCGCGCUGCCUGCGAUUAGCGGUCUUGGCUACUGGCUGCAGAAGUGAGGCCACCCCAGCAGGCGUG